GUAGGGAAUAUUGGACAAUGGGCGAAAGCCUGAUCCAGCAAUGCCGCGUGAGUGAUGAAGGCCUUAGGGUUGUAAAGCUCUUUUACCAGGGAUGAUAAUGACAGUACCUGGAGAAUAAGCUCCGGCUAACUCCGUGCCAGCAGCCGCGGUAAUACGGAGGGAGCUAGCGUUGUUCGGAAUUACUGGGCGUAAAGCGCGCGUAGGCGGCGAUUUAAGUCAGAGGUGAAAGCCCGGGGCUCAACCCCGGAAUAGCCUUUGAGACUGGAUUGCUAGAAUCCUGGAGAGGUGAGUGGAAUUCCGAGUGUAGAGGUGAAAUUCGUAGAUAUUCGGAAGAACACCAGUGGCGAAGGCGGCUCACAGGACAGGUAUUGACGCUGAGGUGCGAAAGCGUGGGGAGCAAACAGGAUUAGAAACCCUUGUAGUCC
rnacentral:rRNA from 1 species